CAUUAAAUGGCCGAAAGUAAGCAGUGGAAUUUUAAACCAUCUGAUAAUAUAGUUACGUAUAUUUUUAAUGG
rnacentral:tRNA from 1 species